rnacentral:rRNA from 1 species
CCCAGUAACGGCGAGUGAAGCGGCAACAGCUCAAAUUUGAAAUCUGGCCCCUAGGGUCCGAGUUGUAAUUUGUAGAGGAUGCUUUUGGUGAGGUGCCGCCCGAGUUCCCUGGAACGGGACGCCACAGAGGGUGAGAGCCCCGUCUGGCUGGCCACCGAGCCUCUGUAAAGCUCCUUCGACGAGUCGAGUAGUUUGGGAAUGCUGCUCAAAAUGGGAGGUAUAUGUCUUCUAAAGCUAAAUAUUGGCCAGAGACCGAUAGCGCACAAGUAGAGUGAUCGAAAGAUGAAAAGCACCUUGAAAAGAGGGUUAAAUAGUACGUGAAAUUGUUGAAAGGGAAGCGCUUGUGACCAGACUUGGGCGCGGCGGAUCAUCCGGGGUUCUCUCCGGUGCACUUCGCCGCGUCUAGGCCAGCAUCAGUUCGUCGCGGGGGAAAAAGGCUUCGGGAACGUGGCUCCUCCGGGAGUGUUAUAGCCCGUUGCAUAAUACCCUGCGGUGGACUGAGGACCGCGCAUCUGCAAGGAUGCUGGCGUAAUGGUCACCAGCGACCCGUCUUGAAACACGGACCAAGGAGUCGUCUUCGUAUGCGAGUGUUCGGGUGUCAAACCCCUACGCGUAAUGAAAGUGAACGCAGGUGAGAGCUUCGGCGCAUCAUCGACCGAUCCUGAUGUUCUCGGAUGGAUUUGAGUAAGAGCAUACGGGGCCGGACCCGAAAGAAGGUGAACUAUGCCUGUAUAGGGUGAAGCCAGAGGAAACUCUGGUGGAGGCUCGCAGCGGUUCUGACGUGCAAAUCGAUCGUCAAAUAUGGGCAUGGGG